UUAAAUUGAAGAGUUUGAUCAUGGCUCAGAUUGAACGCUGGCGGCAGGCCUAACACAUGCAAGUCGAACGGUAACAGAAAGCAGCUUGCUGCUUUGCUGACGAGUGGCGGACGGGUGAGUAAUGUCUGGGAAACUGCCUGAUGGAGGGGGAUAACUACUGGAAACGGUAGCUAAUACCGCAUAACGUCGCAAGACCAAAGAGGGGGACCUUCGGGCCUCUUGCCAUCGGAUGUGCCCAGAUGGGAUUAGCUAGUAGGUGGGGUAACGGCUCACCUAGGC
rnacentral:rRNA from 1 species